rnacentral:lncRNA from 1 species
UAGUACAUAAGAUUUAGGGACAACUGUUUAUAUACUUUUGAAAAGUUUUCAAUUUUCUGAUUUACCCCUCUUAGAAGGCUAAUAUUGAAAAUACAUUUUUUACGUUCCAAUCUAUUUCAAAUAUUCUCCUAGAGUUAAAUUCUGUUAAUAAACUGUUGGUAAUAAUUGUUAUCUGUAUAAAAUUACUAGUUUGCCCUUUCAAAUGUACCCUUCCAACAUCACCAACUUCUCUUAUUUGCCCUUAAGUUACGAGCACAAAAAGUAUUUUGAUUUUUAAUCUUUUCAAAUAUACCCUUCUACCAUCACCAAUAUUUCUUAUUUGCCCUCAAGUUACGGGCGAAAGCGGUAUUUUAAUUUUUUUUAACUCUAGUAAAUAUUUAACUCAUGUUUAAUCCAAGUUAAGUUAACGGGUGGUAACUGUAUGGAUAUUUUGAAAUAACGGAAGAAUAUAUGAGAGAUAUAUUAGAAAAAAAAAAAAGAAUAAAUGAGAUAUUUCUAAAAUAUUGAGAGGUAUAUAGGCAAUU